GCGGCCGCCCUGAGACGUGGCGACUACAGAGCCUUUGGCCGCCUCAUGGUGGAGAGCCACCGCUCACUCAGGUGAGGCCCUCUGGGCGCCCCGCUCCUGCCGGGCACAGGCCGGCCCAGGCCCACCCCUUCAAUAUCCUCUCUGCAGAGACGACUAUGAGGAGCACUACGGCGGGACUGCCACCUUCUACCUCUCUCAAGCAGCCGAUGGAGCCAAGGUGCUGUGCUUGUGAGGCACCCCCAGGACAGCACACGACGGAGUCUGGCUCUGUCACCCUGUCUGGAGUGCGGUAACACGAUCUCGGUUCACUGCA
rnacentral:lncRNA from 10 species